CAGGAAUUUCUGCUCGAUGAGACUGAAGUGAAAGAAGAGGUGAACUCAUGACUCACCCUCCAUGACAGAGGGGCACUAUGCAGACUGCAUCCCGGGAGACACAGGCUGCAGUUCACUCAUCUUUUCGUCACUCCCUCACAGCCUGGCAAGGUGUCACGAGAAGGAUGCAGGACUCACAGAAGAUUGAUAAUGCUCUCCUGGGAUCUAUUGGAUGGGGAGCGGGUGCAGGACUCAGGCCCAGGAGGCAUUUCUCUCAUCCCAUUUGAGGACCCUAAUGAAACUGGCUGACUUCGGAGCUGUAGCAGCUUGCUUUUCUCCACAAUUGAAUUCCACUCUCUAAUGAGUUCCCCUAAAUCUGCCAUCAGAUGACUUUAUUGACUUUUAGAUCAUAAUUAACCAACACUCACAUUUUGCUUUUAUUUUGACUUUUUCC
ensembl:lncRNA